rnacentral:rRNA from 1 species
UACGGAGGGGGGCUAGCGUUGUUCGGAAUUACUGGGCGUAAAGCGCACGUAGGCGGCUUUGCAAGUUAGAGGUGAAAGCCCGGGGCUCAACUCCGGAAUUGCCUUUAAAACUGCAUCGCUAGAAUUGUGGAGAGGUAAGUGGAAUUCCGAGUGUAGAGGUGAAAUUCGUAGAUAUUCGGAAGAACACCAGUGGCGAAGGCGACUUACUGGACACAUAUUGACGCUGAGGUGCGAAAGCGUGGGGAGCAAACAGGG